AUGAAUGUUACAGGAAAAGGAUUGUUGCAAUCCGCCGAAGGGGCAAGGGCUUAAAACUCCCAUUUAAGUCCAAAUCUCUCAGGUAUACUGAAAAGUAUGA
rnacentral:ncRNA from 2 species